rnacentral:rRNA from 1 species
GACGGAAGGUGCAAGCGUUGCUCGGAAUCACUGGGCGUAAAGCGCACGUAGGCGGCUUGUUAAGUCAGGGGUGAAAUCCUGGAGCUCAACUCCAGAACUGCCUUUGAUACUGGCGAGCUUGAGUCCGGGAGAGGUGAGUGGAACUGCGAGUGUAGAGGUGAAAUUCGUAGAUAUUCGCAAGAACACCAGUGGCGAAGGCGGCUCACUGGCCCGGUACUGACGCUGAGGUGCGAAAGCGUAGGGAGCAAACAGG